UCAAACUUGGUCAUUUAGAGGAAGUAAAAGUCGUAACAAGGUUUCCGUAGGUGAACCUGCGGAAGGAUCAUUACCAAAAAAACGUAGCUGACUGGUCGCAAGGCCACGAUGCUCUGACCCUUGUGAACCGAAAAACCUUUCGCUUCGGCAGCUGCCCGGUCGGAAACGGCCGUGGCGUGAGCCUGCCGCUGGCACAAAACCUCAAAACCAGGCGUCAAAACAUUGUCUGAUGACCAAAUUUUCGAAUGAAAAUCAAAACUUUCAACAACGGAUCUCUUGGUUCCCGCAUCGAUGAAGAACGCAGC
rnacentral:misc_RNA from 1 species